rnacentral:rRNA from 1 species
AUGGCAUCUCUCAAGGAAAACCUGCAGCUGGAAGAACCACUUCUUGAGGGUUCUGUGGUACACAGAGGGGACCGAGUUGUUGACAUCAAAGGAACAACAACUCCUGGAGCGAAGCACCGUACCGGCAGUUGGAAAGCAUGCAAGUUCAUCUUAGUGACUGAGUGCUUCGAGGAGCUAGCGUACUACGGGAUCCAGUUCAACCUGGUAACCUUCCUCAAGACGAUAUUGCAGGAGAGCAAUGUGUCUGCGGCGAGGAACUACACCAACUGGCAGGGGACUUGCUACAUCGCCCCCCUCGUCGGAGCUAUCGUCGCCGACUCCUAUCUGGGCAGAUACCUUACCACGCUGGCCUUCUUCGCAGUUUACCUAAUCGGAAUGGCUGCGAUGUCAGUUUCAGCGUCGUUCCCGGUGGCGUGCACCGGGCUCGACUGCCUGCAGGAUGUUGGCUCGUCGCCUUCGUCCCAGUCCGCCGUGUUCUUCCUCGGCCUGUACAUGAUGGCCAUCGGGGCCGGCGGCAUCAAGCCCUGCGUCUCCUCCUUCGGCGCCGACCAGUUCGACGACGGCGUCCCGGCGGAGAGGCUGAAGAAGAACUCCUUCUUCAACUGGUUCUUCUUCUCCAUCUACAUCGGCAGCUUCGUCUCCGGCACCGUCGUCGUGUGGGUGCAGGACCACUGCGGGUGGGUCGUAGGCCUCUGGAUCCCCACCCUGUUCAUCGCGCUGGCCAUCGCGAGCUUCUUGCUGGGCUCCGGCUCGUACAGGGUGCAGAAGCCUCUGGGAAGCCCGCUGGCAAGAGUUUCCCAGGUCGUCGUCGCGGCCGUGCGGAAACGGAAUGUAAGUCUGCCGCGUGAUGCUUCUCUCCUCCACGAGCUCUCGGAGGUUGAAUCAAUGGCGGAGUCGGACGGUGCCAAGAAAUUGCAGCAUACACCAGUGCUCAGUUUCCUGGACAAGGCUGCAGUGGUCUCUUCGGCGGAGGAGCUUUACUCGGAUCCAUGGAGGCUUUGCACUGUCACGCAAGUGGAGGAGCUCAAGAUCGUGAUCGGCAUGCUCCCGAUCUGGGCCACCGGCAUCGUUUACUUCUCCGUCCUCGCGCAGUUCUCCUCGACGUUUCUGGAGCAAGGGAGGAUGAUGGACACGGCGAUCGGCGCCUUCGCGAUCCCUCCGGCGUCCCUGGCUUCCUUCGACGCCGUCAGCGUCAUCCUCUUCGUGCCCGUCUACGACAGGGUGCUCAUCCCGGCGGCGAGGAGGUUCACCGGCAACGAGCGGGGGUUCUCGGAGCUGCAGCGGUUCGGCGUCGGCCUGUUCCUCUCCGUGCUGGUCAUGGCGGCCGCGGCGAUGGUGGAGGCGCGGCGGCUGGCGCUGGACCGGGUGGCGGCGGCGCCGAUGUGCAUCCUGUGGCAGGUGCCGCAGUACCUCCUGGUGGGCGCCAGCGUGGUGUUCGCGUGCGUCGGGCAGUCGGAGUUCUUCUACAACGAGGCGCCGGAGUCCAUGCGGAGCCUCUGCUCCGCGCUGGGGCUCCUCACGGUGUCGCUCGGGAGCUACCUGAGCUCGCUCGUGGUGACCGUCGUGUCUGGCGUCACGACGCGGGGCGGCGGGCCCGGGUGGAUACCGGAUAACCUCAACGAGGGCCACCUCGACCGGUUCUUCUGGCUCAUCGCUGCGCUUAGCGCGCUCAAUCUCGCGGUUUUCGUCUGGUGUGCCAAGAGAUACAAGUGUAAGAAUGUCUCUUGA